rnacentral:rRNA from 1 species
CAGUCGCCGCGGGAAUACGAAGGGUGCAAGCGUUAAUCGGAAUUACUGGGCGUAAAGCGUGCGUAGGCGGUUUGUUAAGUCUGCUGUGAAAUCCCCGGGCUCAACCCGGGAAUGGCAGUGGAUACUGGCAAGCUAGAGUGUGUCAGAGGAUGGUGGAAUUCCCGGUGUAGCGGUGAAAUGCGUAGAGAUCGGGAGGAACAUCAGUGGCGAAGGCGGCCAUCUGGGACAACACUGACGCUGAGGCACGAAAGCGUGGGGAGCAAACAGGAUUAGAGACCCCCGUAGUCCCUGUCUCUUAUAC